rnacentral:rRNA from 1 species
ACAUCCAGAGAACUUAGCAGAGAUGCUUUGGUGCCUUCGGGAACUCNGAGACAGGUGCUGCAUGGCUGUCGUCAGCUCGUGUUGUGAAAUGUUGGGUUAAGUCCCGNAACGAGCGCAACCCUUAUCCUUUGUUGCCAGCGGUUCGGCCGGGAACUCAAAGGAGACUGCCGGUGAUAAACCGGAGGAAGGUGGGGAUGACGUCAAGUCAUCAUGGCCCUUACGGCCAGGGCUACACACGUGCUACAAUGGCGCAUACAAAGAGAAGCGACCUCGCGAGAGCAAGCGGACCUCAUAAAGUGCGUCGUAGUCCGGAUUGGAGUCUGCAACUCGACUCCAUGAAGUCGGAAUCGCUAGUAAUCGUAGAUCAGAAUGCUACGGUGAAUACGUUCCCGGGCCUUGUACACACCGCCCGUCACACCAUGGGAGUGGGUUGCAAAAGAAGUAGGUAGCUUAACCUUCGGGAGGGCGCUUACCACUUUGUGAUUCAUGACUGGGGUGAAGUCGUAACAAGGUAGGCGUAGCGAG